UACAGAGGUCUCAAGCGUUGUUCGGAUUCAUUGGGCGUAAAGGGUGCGUAGGCGGCGCGGUAAGUCGGGUGUGAAAUCUCGGGGCUUAACUCCGAAACUGCAUUCGAUACUACCGUGCUUGAGGACUGGAGAGGAGACUGGAAUUUACGGUGUAGCGGUGAAAUGCGUAGAUAUCGUAAGGAAGACCAGUGGCGAAGGCGGGUCUCUGGACAGUUCCUGACGUGAGGCACGAAGGCCAGGGGAGCAAACGGG
rnacentral:rRNA from 1 species